rnacentral:rRNA from 1 species
GCGAAAAGAACCCCGGCGAGGGGAGUGAAAAAGAACCUGAAACCGUGUACGUACAAGCAGUGGGAGCACAGAGCAAUCUGUGUGACUGCGUACCUUUUGUAUAAUGGGUCAGCGACUUAUAUUCUGUAGCAAGGUUAACCGAAUAGGGGAGCCGAAGGGAAACCGAGUCUUAACUGGGCGUUAAGUUGCAGGGUAUAGACCCGAAACCCGGUGAUCUAGCCAUGGGCAGGUUGAAGGUUGGGUAACACUAACUGGAGGACCGAACCGACUAAUGUUGAAAAAUUAGCGGAUGACUUGUGGCUGGGGGUGAAAGGCCAAUCAAACCGGGAGAUAGCUGGUUCUCCCCGAAAGCUAUUUAGGUAGCGCCUCGUGAAUUCAUCUCCGGGGGUAGAGCACUGUUUCGGCAAGGGGGUCAUCCCGACUUACCAACCCGAUGCAAACUGCGAAUACCGGAGAAUGUUAUCACGGGAGACACACGGCGGGUGCUAACGUCCGUCGUGAAGAGGGAAACAACCCAGACCGCCAGCUAAGGUCCCAAAGUCAUGGUUAAGUGGGAAACGAUGUGGGAAGGCCCAGACAGCCAGGAUGUUGGCUUAGAA